UACAGAGGGUGCAAGCGUUAAUCGGAAUUACUGGGCGUAAAGCGUGUGUAGGCGGAUAUUUAAGUCGGAUGUGAAAUCCCCGGGCUCAACCUGGGAACUGCAUUCGAUACUGGAUGUCUAGAGUAUGGUAGAGGAAAGUGGAACUCCCGGUGUAGCGGUGAAAUGCGUAGAUAUCGGGAAGAACACCAGUGGCGAAGGCGGCUUUCUGGACCAAUACUGACGUUGAGGCACGAAAGCGUGGGGAGCAAACAGG
rnacentral:rRNA from 1 species